rnacentral:rRNA from 1 species
UACGUAGGGUGCAAGCGUUGUCCGGAUUUAUUGGGCGUAAAGAGCUCGUAGGCGGCUUGGCAAGUCGGGUGUGAAAACUUCAGGCUCAACCUGGAGAUGCCACUCGAGACUGCUAUGGCUUGAGUCUGGUAGGGGAGCACGGAAUUCCUGGUGUAGCGGUGAAAUGCGCAGAUAUCAGGAGGAACACCGGUGGCGAAGGCGGUGCUCUGGGCCAGUACUGACGCUGAGGAGCGAAAGCGUGGGGAGCAAACAGG